UGAACAGAUAACACAAAUUGAAUAAAUUGAUGGUGUUGGGAUUUUUGUGUAUAAUUCAGUAAUCAGAAACAAUGUGUUAAUCAGAAGUAUGUCCUAAAACACAUGCAUGAAUCAUGGUCAGUGACCACACUGCAGAACUGACUGGGACCACAGAAAGAAUCAUCAAACAGAUCACAUAAUGUUUCAAUAUGAAAUUGUUGGAAUGAAGUUCCUAAACAUAACUCCAGUGCUUCUGAAGCUGCCUAAAGCCAACAGAACUCCAAAAAUGAAUUAUUUGUUGUGUAAACUAUCGAUAAUUUAUUAUUAAUUAAAUUUUGAACUUAAA